CAGUAGCCGCGGUAAUACGAAGGGUGCAAGCGUUAAUCGGAAUUACUGGGCGUAAAGCGUGCGUAGGCGGUGAGUUAAGUCUGCUGUGAAAUCCCCGGGCUCAACCUGGGAAUGGCAGUGGAUACUGGCUCGCUAGAGUGUGUCAGAGGAUGGUGGAAUUCCCGGUGUAGCGGUGAAAUGCGUAGAGAUGUGGAGGAACACCAGUGGCGAAGGCGACUCUCUGGUCUGUAACUGACGCUGAGGCACGAAAGCGUGGGGAGCAAACAGGAUUAGAUACCCCAGUAGUCUCUGUCUCUUAUAC
rnacentral:rRNA from 1 species